GUCAUAAAAAUUCGCUCCAUUGGUAGAGCAUGAGACUCUUAACAUCAGGGUCAUGGGUUCGAGUCCCACAUUGGACA